rnacentral:lncRNA from 1 species
UUUUCGGAUAUCUCUUAAGAACCAUUCAAGUAUAUAUGCCAAAUCUAAUAGAUUAUGAAACUUUGAUUUUUGGGUCGAUUCCGAGUCAGAUUUUUUGGAUACGAAUAUUUUUCUUGACUAAUUAUGUUAGGUAACUACUAAGAAAAUAUAAUAUGUUGCAAAUUUUAAAAAUAAAGUUUAAAAAUAAUUUUUGAAAUACAUAUGACAUAUAAUUAUGCAAUUUGACAUAUUUAAUAUAGUUACCAAAAAUUAUAUUAAAUUAAAUUAAUACUAAAAACAAAUAUGAUUACAAAAAUAACACAAAUACAAAAAUUAAAUUUCUCAAAAAAAAAAUAAACAAAAAAUAAAAGGGCGGGUCAGAAUCCAAAUUGUCACUAUUUAUUUAAAUCCAAACGCAGCUUUUGCGGUUGGUAGCGGUUGUCGGUGGUUUGCAACAAUCACUCAAAUCGCUAUAAACCGCUUCAAACCGCU